UGUGUGUGUGUGGUGUGUGUGUGUGUGUGUGUGUAUAUCUGGGUGUGUUGUAUAUCUGUGUGUGUGUGUAUAUCUGUGUUGUGUGUGUGUGGUAUAUCUGGUGUGUGUGUGUGGUGUGUGUGUGUGUGUAUAUCUGUGUGUGUGUGUGUGUGUGUGUGUGUGUAGAGGAGUAAGGUAAAAUCUUUUGGUAAGUUGGACAAAGCGAGACCUUCAGAGACGUUUUGUCAUUAAUGAACUUCCAUAAAUAGAUAAUAUAACGGGACAGAAGAUCAGCUGCUCUUCUUCUUCUGUCUCUGUAGUUUUUCAUGUUAGUCUGAGUGUCAAAAUCUUCCCUUUAAAUUCUGCGACGUUACCUAUUUUUAUACUUAUAUAUACACACACACACAUAUAUAUACAUAUAAAUAUAUAUGAUAAAAGAUAUUUAUGUGACAGUUGUGUACAAUGUUGUGUAAUCUGUUUUGAUUUUUGGACAGAGUGAGACCUCUGCCUGUGUUCAGAUCUUUGCAGCUUUAACUUCCUGUGGUUCUCUGGUGAUCCACCAAUAAAACCUCAUCAAACUG